AUUGAACGCUGGCGGCAGGCCUAACACAUGCAAGUCGAACGAGUGGCGGACGGGUGAGUAAUGUCUGGGAAACUGCCCGAUGGAGGGGGCUAACUACUGGAAACGGUAGCUAAUACCGCAUACCAUCGGAUGUGCCCAGAUGGGAUUAGCUAGUGGGUGGGGUAACGGCUCACCGAGGCGACGAUCCCUAGCUGGUCUGAGAGGAUGACCGGCCACACUGGGACUGAGACACGGUCCAGACUCCUACGGGAGGCAGCAGUGGGGAAUCUUGCACAAUGGGCGCAAGCCUGAUAGAGCCAUGCCGCGUGUAUGAAGAAGGCCUUCGGGUUGUAAAGUACUUUCAUCGGGGAGGCGUUACUCACAGAGGAAGCACCGGCUAACUCCGUGCCAGCAGCCGCGGUAAUAC
rnacentral:rRNA from 1 species